UUUCUUCUUCUUCUCCUCCUUCUUUGAAUGGUGUUAGCGGAGAUGUUCGAGAUCGAUGCGUGUCAUCACGCGAGGGAAUAACAUAUGGCUUGUCUUCGUGCUUCUCCGACUGGGGCUUUGGACGGAGUGGUUCUUCAUGGUUCUUAUCCAGUGUGAUCCUUCAAAAGGGCGUGCUUACAGAAGAAGAGGAUAGUCAAGACCCAUAAAAACAAAGACUGAGUUUUUUUCCUUGGUGGUUCUAUGUUUCUUUUGUCCUUCAUCGUCAAGAUUCAUAUUAUUAUGUAUUUCAUGGUCUGAUUAUUCUUGUUUGAUUUGAAAUUGGAAGAAAUUUUUUUGGUUUUGU
rnacentral:misc_RNA from 1 species